rnacentral:rRNA from 1 species
CCUACGGGAGGCAGCAGUGGGGGAUAUUGCACAAUGGGGGGAACCCUGAUGCAGCGACGCCGCGUGGGUGAAGAAGCGCCUCGGCGCGUAAAGCCCUGUCAGCAGGGAAGAAAAUGACGGUACCUGAAGAAGAAGCCGCGGCUAACUACGUGCCAGCAGCCGCGGCAAUACGAAGGGGGCAAGCGUUAUCAGGAUUUACUGGGUGUAAUGGGGGCGCAGACGGCGAUGCAAGACAGGAGGGAAAGCCCGGGGCCCAACCCCGGGACUGCUCUUGGAACUGCGUGGCUGGAGUGCAGGAGGGGCAGGCGGAAUUCCUGGUGUAGCGGUGAAAUGCGUAGAUAUCAGGAGGAACACCGGUGGCGAAGGCGGCCUGCUGGACUGCAACUGACGUUGAGGCCCGAAAGCGUGGGGAGCAAACAGGAUUAGAUACCCCUGUAGUC